rnacentral:rRNA from 1 species
UGAGGAAUAUUGGUCAAUGGGCGGGAGCCUGAACCAGCCAAGCCGCGUGAGGGAAGAAGGUACAGCGUAUCGUAAACCUCUUUUGUCAGGGAACAAAGGCGGGGACUAGUCCCCGGAUGAAGGUACCUGAAGAAAAAGCAUCGGCUAACUCCGUGCCAGCAGCCGCGGUAAUACGGAGGAUGCGAGCGUUAUCCGGAUUUAUUGGGUUUAAAGGGUGCGCAGGCGGCCUGUUAAGUCAGCGGUAAAAGCCCGGGGCUCAACCCCGGCAAGCCGUUGAAACUGGCGGGCUGGAGUUGGAGAGAAGUACGCGGAAUGCGCGGUGUAGCGGUGAAAUGCUUAGAUAUCGCGCAGAACCCCGAUUGCGAAGGCAGCGUACCGGCUCCACACUGACGCUGAGGCACGAAAGCGUGGGUAUCGAACAG